rnacentral:rRNA from 1 species
CAUAUGGAUUCCUACGGGAGGCAGCAGUCGAGAAUAAUUCACAAUGGGGGCAACCCUGAUGGUGCAACGCCGCGUGGAGGAUGACGGUCUUCGGAUUGUAAACUCCUGUCAUCUGGGAGUAAGACCUGGGCAUUAAUAGUGCACAGGGUUGAUAGUACCAGAAGAGGAAGGGACGGCUAACUUCGUGCCAGCAGCCGCGGUAAUACGAAGGUCCCGAGCGUUGUUCGGAAUCACUGGGCGUAAAGGGAGCGUAGGCGGCGUGGUAAGUCAGAUGUGAAAUCCCGGGGCUCAACCCCGGAACUGCAUCCGAUACUGCCGUGCUAGAGUAAUGGAGAGGUAGCUGGAAUUCACGGUGUAGCAGUGAAAUGCGUAGAUAUCGUGAGGAACACUCGUGGCGAAAGCGAGCUACUGGACAUUUACUGACGCUGAGGCUCGAAGGCUAGGGUAGCGAAAGGGAUUAGAUACCCCUGUAGUCCUAGCAGUAAACGGUGCACGCUUGGUGUGAGGGGAAUCGACCCCCCUUGUGCCGGAGCUAACGCGUUAAGCGUGCCGCCUGGGAAGUACGGUCGCAAGACUAAAACUCAAAGAAAUUGACGGGGACCCGCACAAGCGGUGGAGUAUGUGGCUUAAUUCGAUGCAACGCGAAGAACCUUACCAAGGCUUGACAUGGAUUUCUAAGCACGUGAAAGCGUGUGACCCUUCGGGGAACUUCCACAGGUGCUGCAUGGCCGUCGUCAGCUCGUGUCGUGAGAUGUUGGGUUAAGUCCCGCAACGAGCGCAACCCUUGUGAUUAGUUGCCAGCACGUUAAGGUGGGAACUCUAAUCAGACUGCCCAGAUCAACUGGGAGGAAGGUGGGGACGACGUCAGGUCAGUAUGGCCCUUACGCCUUGGGCUGCACACGUACUACAAUGCCCAGUACAAUGAGAACCGAUGCCGCGAGGUGGAGGAAAUCUGUAAAACUGGGCCCAGUUCGGAUUGGAGGCUGCAACUCGCCUCCAUGAAGUUGGAAUCGCUAGUAAUGGCGCAUCAUCUACGGCGCCGUGAAUACGUUCCCGGGCCUUGUACACACCGCCAU